CUCGGGAGCUGAGUGGCCUCGGGAGCUGAGUGGCCUCGGGAGCUGCACGGCCUCGGGAGCUGAGCGGCCUCGGGAGCUGCGCGGCCUCGGGAGCUGCACGGACAAACUGACCUACUCACAAAGACAAUACCCUUUGACCGGGUGAUGCUCCUGAGACGGCUGAAGGAGGAAGAGUUAAUUGUCCUAAAGGAAGUCCAGUAGCACUGGGAAAGCCUAAAGAGGGAAUCGGAGAAUGUGCAAGACCUUGCUUCACAUGUGACACUUAACCUAAGCAGGCAAAGUAGGGAACGUUCAUUGAUAUGUACAUUUUAUGUUGGCACCCUGUAAUUGAUAUUGUAUUUAAGGAAUACUUCAUUGUAUUUACCCGACACAUUACGAUUGUUGGUGUUAGGCUGACAAUUUAAUCAGUCGGAAGCUGGGAGCAGAGGUCUCUUCUCCAUGCUUCAGAGGAGAGUCAGCAGCCUCAGAAGACACCAGGACUCUGUCAAACUGAUAUACAGCAAAGCUAUGGGCCAAGACACCUCCCUCCUAGAAGAUAACUUCAUAGAUGACCUCCUGAAAGAGGACCUAGAUGACAGCAUCCACUACAGCUCUGAUGACGAGGAAUCUGUCCCAGACUGACGGUGUUCGUUUGGGUGGGUGCAGUUUGCAUUGGGUGGAAAGUGAUUCCAUUUGUUUUGUAGAUGUGCUUUAUCUACCUUCCUAAGGAAAAAUAGUUUUAACAUUUUAUGGAAAAUAAAGGUUUAUGUUUCUUCCUUGUUGACAAUGUGAUCAUGUGGUACAGAUUUGAGAAGGGCGCUCGUCUGUUACUGCUUUUGCCCGAUCACAUGACCAGGUCACAUGACCAGGUCCGAUCCCUUUAAAUGACCAAUCUGCAGUUGAUACAUCCACUUAUGGAUGCUUGAAGAAUAUCAUUUAUAAAUGCCUCAUGAAUAUAGUUCAACUGCCGUACCCCAUCAGAUCCCAAAAUAGAUGUUUUUGUUCUACUCCAAUGUUUGUAAACAAAGUAAAUGUAAACAUUCA